AUAAUAGAAAUCAGUGUCUCUCAGAGAGAUGUUCCACUUAGUCUCCCGCUACCUGCCUGCCCGCCUGGAAGGAAGCGACAGAACCAGUCGAGAUCUACUCAGUGCCUGCAGAACAGGGAAUGAAAGGAACGGUCUAACCACAGGAUGAGCUCCAGUCCCAUUGGACGCCUGCAGGGGAGGACCAAUGAACUGAGCUCUACAACACACUGCCCAUUGACUCAGGAAGGGAACACUUUCCACCCCAGCCUGCUCUUACUGAACCAUUCCCUACUGCUCUCCUCUCUGGGACCAUCUGUUACUGUGUCAUGGGCCCCCUCCAAAGCCAGUGUAACUUAGUUUCCUAUAUUUGGUCUCUUGUUCGUUUCUGUGCCACAUAUCCCAAAGUAUGUGUGUAUAUUUAAAGGGGCAUUCUGCAGUUGCUACAUCCAUUUCUGGAUGUACUCAUUGAUUCUUGAAUACUAUAUAUGCCUCAGCUUAGUUCAACUGUCAUGCCCCAUCAGAACCCAAAACAUAAGCUUGUUUUACUCCAAAGUUUACAAACAAAGUAUGUUUAAACAAAUGCUAUAUAGCCUCAAAACAUGGUUAAAACUAUAAUUUUGAUAUCAAGGAUGGUCAGUCCUUGCAUCCAUAGCUCAUAGCCUAUGAGUUUGAGAAUGGUUACAUUUCUCCAGCCCCAUCCCUCAGUUCUUUACCAAAAUAGGGAGAGAACGCUUUAUUGUUUCAACUACGGAUUAUCCCUUUAAGCUUGGGACACAUAGCAACAUUUGGAACCAAAGUUUUGUCAUUGGAUUCUAUUGAGAAACCCUGAAGCCAGUGAAUGUGACCAAAUGUGACAAACUCCUUUUGUCCAAUGGCAUAUUUUACAAGAAAAACAAGUAUUGCUAAAAGUCAUUUGCAAUUGUUCCCGACAGGUUUCUCCGCUCCGUCGCUAAACUAAACUGUAUUCUGAGUUGAUUUGGUGCAUUCAGAACAGGCUUUUUUGCAUGAGAAAAGCAAGUUUAAACCACCCUAAACCAACUCAGUCCUCGUUAAAUUUCCCCAUUCAACUCUGUGACAUAUCCUGUCCUUGGCCUAUUAGUGAUAACAGCCAAUACAGUUCAAUGAUAAAGCUUGUUCUCCCAUCUUCUCAACCUCUGAGGGGAAAAAAGGAAAAGAAAUGGGUGGAAAAAGCCAGUCAGGUCUGUUUGAACAUUCACUUGAGGUGGAGAAUUAAUCAACCAUAGUGAAUGAUGUUUUCUUUUCAACCCCCCCCUCCCAUUCUCUUUUUCUUUUUGAAAUGCUUUUGUUCAAAACGUCAACCACAUCACCGAUUGUAAAUCGCUCUCGGAUGGCUGAGGAAAGUCUGAUUUUAAUGGUUUAUAGUGCUGGGACGGGGGUAUGGGGGAGAGAAAUCGAGAGGAUAAAAUAAAGUGUGGGGGUAGGUAGGGUGGGGGGUGAGUGGGGAAAUACCCACGAUGCCCAUGUUUCAUUCAUACUGAGUAUAGGGCCGCUCCACCAUCGCUCCCUGGCUCUAGUUUCAUUUAAAUGGAAAUCAAUCGUGCCCGGUGAACAAAAGCUUUAGGGCCGAGGUGCUGGCUGGCUUAUUUCUUACUCUGCAUUACAGAGAAAGGAUGUUUUUUUGGCAGGGGUCAGAGGAGAGGGGGAGUUGGACAUGUUGUGCUUCGGCAUGACAGGGCUAUUCAUUUGUUGCGUUAUCAUGAGGGAACAAGGGUUGUUGUGAGUGUGAGUGAAUUACACCCAAGAUCAAGUAGUGUUGAAAUCACUGGGUCUGUCAAAACAGCGUGCGCACUGUCUUUCUCCACUCAACCUUACCGCUGUGAUGUCAUCAGCUGGGGAUGGGCUUGGCUUGGCUCCAGGCUGUACAGAAACACCUGUGUGUUAUUAGCGCCUCCAUCACAUUUUGUGUUAUCUGGUUCACUCAAUCAGAAUUGUCCCAAUCUGUUUAAGUUGAUAAAAUUCAAUUAGUAGCUGGUGCUACUAAUAGUGAGAAACAGAUUUUAAAUGCACACGGUGUGGUAUGUGUGUGUCUGCACUCUGCAGGUGUUUGCGUUUGGGGAGAUUGUGUAUGUGGGGUUUGAUUGAAGCAUCACAACUAGCCCCGUAAGCCUUUCUUAGAUGUAGUCUAGCUCUGACAGCAUUUCAAAAGGAGAAUAAUUUGCCAUACAUUUAAAAGAACAAAACAACUUUCACUUACCCUUUGUUUACUGACCACAGUCACAUUCAAGAAAGCCUUUUUCCAUACUCAUAAAUACCAUGAGAAAUACCCUUCACCUACAAAGCAGAUGUGGUUACGAGUCCGCGACUAGUCUCACUAUAAGAUGAGGUUUGCAUAGAACAGUUUUUCUUGUUCACGAUACAAAGUACAUCUAAAAACCGUUCAAGAAAGCAUGUUGAAUAAGCCAUGAACCAAACAAAGUGCAAAAAUCCUAAAAUAAUUGGUUUGACCUGUGUAAUGCUCUGUACAUUCAGCUACACUCGCACAUCUCCAUGGAAUUAUGCUCCUUCAAAGCCACAAAGCGUUGUUAUUGUGAAUGCAUCAAAACUGAUUGUCCUUCAUUUAUUUCUUCCAGGCCUUACGUUGAAAAGGGUAUGAAAUGUUCAAAUAUUGGAAAACAUAUUGUAUUUUCAAAUGAGCUCCAUGGGCUUUUUCAGCUGUGCAAAAGUUUCUCUAGGCCCAUUUUUCAUCUAAUCUUUAUUUUUUUGUCAAGAGAAAGCAUUACCGAUUUCAGCCAAUCCCUGACACCGUCAGACAUGGCUCUCCAAGAGCCUUAACUUAUUAUACAAAAGUCCUUACACCACCCCCCCUCCAAAAAAAACGGUUGUGCAUUCUGUCUUUUGAUGAAAAUAGGAAAAUGUAUCAACCAGCAGAUUUUGUUUGAGGAGCUUGAUGCAUUUCAGGGAUGAUGGGUCCUCUGCACAGCAAUACAUUAUGCAAAUGUCUUCCAAUUUAUUUUUUUUGACAAGUAGCUUGGUGUAUUAUUAUAUUGUUAUGAAAUGUCCUAUUGUAAACUCAAUAUUCAAAUGAUAAUUUUGUCUUUUAGUUAAGCACACGUCUUCAUCAGUACUCAAUCAAUGGUGAUAAACCCUGUACAUUCUGUUUGCUCAGGAUCAUUAACUGUUAACGUACAGUAGCAAAGUGUUUCUACAAUACUCUAUAUCUCAUCCAUUCCUAUGUCUAUGAAUCUGAGUGUGUUUUAGAAUAACGAGACCUGCACUAAAAGUGUAAUCUUGCUGUUCUACUUGUCCUGUAGGUUUCCACAGCCCACACAUUCUCCAAUCAUUCAAUUUGGACUAGCAUUACUCAUGUUCUGUAUAUGGCUCUUCUAUAUCAUGGGUUAUGACUAUUUUUACAUUAAAUGUGUUCUGCUAUGCUUUGUCUCGGCGUGAAUGCUUCACAAUAUGCCAUAUGGACACAGAGCUGGUACACUAUGUGGCAUAAUCCAGAGUUUUGCUCAUUUAAAUUGUAAAUUGUACAAUGAAAAGCCACUAAGAAGCUUAAAAUAACUUUCUACUAAAACAUUUUGUCAGUCUGUUUUCUGAGUAAAGAACAUGCUGGAA
rnacentral:lncRNA from 1 species